rnacentral:rRNA from 1 species
GCAUAUCAAUAAGCGGAGGAAAAGAAACCAACAGGGAUUGCCCUAGUAACGGCGAGUGAAGCGGCAACAGCUCAAAUUUGAAAUCUGGCUCUCUUUGGGGGUCCGAGUUGUAAUUUGCAGAGGAUGCUUUGGCAUUGGCGGCGGUCUAAGUUCCUUGGAACAGGACAUCACAGAGGGUGAGAAUCCCGUACGUGGUCGCCUGCCUUUGCCGUGUAAAGCUCCUUCGACGAGUCGAGUUGUUUGGGAAUGCAGCUCUAAAUGGGAGGUAAAUUUCUUCUAAAGCUAAAUACUGGCCAGAGACCGAUAGCGCACAAGUAGAGUGAUCGAAAGAUGAAAAGUACUUUGGAAAGAGAGUCAAAAAGCACGUGAAAUUGUUGAAAGGGAAGCGCUUGCAGCCAGACUUGCCCGCAGUUGCUCACCUAGGCUUUGGCCUGGGGCACUCUUCUGCGGGCAGGCCAGCAUCAGUUUGGGCGGUUGGAUAAAGGCCUCUGUCACGUAUCUCCCUUCGGGGUGACCUUAUAGGGGAGGCGCAAUGCAACCAGCCCGGACUGAGGUCCGCGCAUCUGCUAGGAUGCUGGCGUAAUGGCUGUAAGCGGCCCGUCUUGAAACACGGACCAAGGAGUCUAACAUCUAUGCGAGUGUUUGGGUGUCAAGCCCGAGCGCGCAAUGAAAGUGAACGGAGGUGGGAACCCUUUGGGUGCACCAUCGACCGAUCCUGAUGUCUUCGGAUGGAUUUGAGUAAGAGCAUAGCUGUUGGGACCCGAAAGAUGGUGAACUAUGCUUGAAUAGGGUGAAGCCAGAGGAAACUCUGGUGGAGGCUCGCAGCGGUUCUGACGUGCAAAUCGAUCGUCAAAUUUGGGCAUAGGGGCGAAAGACUAAUCGAACCAUCUAGUAGCUGGUUCCUGCCGAA